GAGGAAUAAGCAUCGGCUAACUCCGUGCCAGCAGCCGCGGUAAUACGGGGGAUGCAAGCGUUAUCCGGAAUCAUUGGGCGUAAAGCGCCUGUAGGUUGUUUAAUAAGUCUGUUGUUAAAGACUAGAGCUUAACCCUAGAAAAGCAAUGGAAACUACUAGACUAGAGUAUGGCAGGGGUAGAGGGAAUUUCUAGUGUAGCGGUGAAAUGCGUAGAUAUUAGAAAGAACACCGGUGGCGAAAGCGCUCUACUGGACCAUUACUGACACUCAGAGGCGAAAGCUAGGGUAGCAAAAGGGAUUAGAUACCCCUGUAGUCCUAGCCGUAAACGAUGGAUACUAGAUGUUGUGCAUAAAGUACAGUAUCGUAGCUAACGCCUUAAGUAUCCCGCCUGGGGAGUACGCUCGCAAGGGUGAAACUCAAAGGAAUUGACGGGGGCCCGCACAAGCGGUGGAGCAUGUGGUUUAAUUCGAUGCAACGCGAAGAACCUUACCAGGGCUUGACAUACUACAGAUUCUUUUGAGAAAAAGAAGUGCCUUCGGGAAUGUAGAUACAGGUGGUGCAUGGCUGUCGUCAGCUCGUGUCGUGAGAUGUUGGGUUAAGUCCCGCAACGAGCGCAACCCUUAUUUUUAGUUACUAAUUCGUUAGGUUCUCUAGAAAGACUGCCGGUGACAAACCGGAGGAAGGUGAGGAUGACGUCAAGUCAGCAUGCCCCUUAUGUCCUGGGCUACACACGUGCUACAAUGGUUAAGACAAAGAGUUGCGAGCUCGCGAGAGUCAGCUAAUCUCAUAAACUUAGCCUAAGUUCAGAUUGUAGGCUGCAACUCGCCUACAUGAAG
rnacentral:rRNA from 1 species